rnacentral:lncRNA from 1 species
AUGGAGCACACCGAUGAAGUGAACCCUUUUCAAAGAAGAGCACCAAGCUGGGGUGUUUACCGAAGGCAAUACACCUAUUGGUCUGAACAGGUCAUUUCCCAGCAGCAGCAAGAUAGAGAUUCAGAAGAAAGUGAUGCUUGUAUGGACAUCCAAGCAAGAUAUGCUUCCUGUGAACUUCCAUCCCAUCAUCGGAGAAGUAGUUUUCAGAAACAAGAUCAAAUGCAUAUUUACAUGGAGACAAAACAAAAGCCUCCAGAAAAAAGAACGGGGAGAAACAGACAGGAUGAGACCUUGGGGAGCUGGUUCAAGAUCAUAAUUCCCUUUGGUAUAAAAUAUGAUGAGAAGUGGCUGCUGAAUUUGAUUCAGAAGCAAAGCAGUGUCCCCUUCACUGCAUUCGAAUUUCACUAUGAGAAAAUGCAGGCCCAGUUCUUUGUAGAGAACGCCAACAUUGCCUGUGCGUUGAAGAAUGUCAAUGGCAAGAUUUUCAAUGAGGUUAAUGAAAAGAUAUUUAUCUUGGUUGAGCCCUGUGAGUCACCCCAGUCUGUGCAGAAGGCGCUGACGUCUGAAAAGGUGGAGCAGAUAAAGUUUUCAUUCUUGGACCUGAGCAACAAGAAACCCUACCUGCUGGAUGGCUUGUCCACCAUUAUGGGAAAUGCUUCCAAUACCCAGAACUUGAACAUCUCCAACACUGAGGUGAAGGCUGAAGGGCAGAUGGACAAGGGUCAACAGCUGGAACCAGAAGGGAUGUGUGCAGACAGAAAUGCCAUGUGUACCAACUUCCCUGAUAAGUCAACCAACAUAAGGUUACUAAGCUUGGAUGGCCAGGAGACACUCUCAGGUUCUAAGUGUGCUACUGAAGCUCCCAAGUUCUUAUCAACGUGCAAGGUGAACAGUCAAAUCCUGCAAUUCCUGCAGCAGUAUUACUUGAUUCAUGACUAUGGAAAUCGCCAGGGACUGCUGGAUUUUUAUCACGAGGAGGCCUGCUUCUUCCUGACCAUUCCAUUCCACCCCAAGGACUCAGGCUUAAGCAGUGCGCGCCUGUACUUCAAGGACAACAGGAAUACAGAGAAGCUCAAGGACCCCAACCUGCGUGUCCAGAUGCUGAAACACACCAAACAUGACAUUGUGCAUGCCCUCUGUGCGUUGCCCAAAACUCAGCAUGACUUCAGCUCCUUUGUGGUGGACAUGUGUUUCCAGACGGAAACGAUGGUCAGCUUCUCUGUCAGUGGGGUGUUCAAGGAAGUGGAAGGAAGUUCUCAGGGCUGUGUGCGUGCCUUCACCCGGACCUUCAUCACUACUCCCACCAGCUCUUCCAGUCUUUGUAUAGUGAAUGAUGAGCUGUUUGUAAGGGAAGCCAGUCCCAGUGAAGCUCAGCGUCUGCAUUCUCCAUCCCAGUGCCUACACUGUCGACCACGUUCAUGUUCCGCCUCUCCCCUGAGUAGCAGGAAAUGGUGUGGGCUUUCUCCAUCCAGUGUGGAAUCACCUCCAAUAGUCUCAGAAGUGACUGCUGGGUUUGCAUGGAGUUGGGAGGGAACUGGGAGGAGUGGAAGAGUAAUUAAUGGGAACUUGAAGGUAAAUUUUUUUUCCUUGUUUAUUUCAGUUAUUUUUACCCUGAACAUUUCAUUCUUAGUACAUAGUAAGCUACUAGUUGUUUUGAGCAGGCUUGAAUCAUUUUUGUGA